rnacentral:rRNA from 1 species
GAUGAACGCUGACAGAAUGCUUAACACAUGCAAGUCUACUUGAAUUUGGGUUUUUUAACUUAGAUUUGGGUGGCGGACGGGUGAGUAACGCGUAAAGAGCUUGCCUCACAGCUAGGGACAACAUUUGGAAACGAAUGCUAAUACCUGAUAUUAUGAUUAUAAGGCAUCUUAGAAUUAUGAAAGCUAUAUGCGCUGUGAGAGAGCUUUGCGUCCCAUUAGCUAGUUGGGGAGGUAACGGCUCACCAAGGCGAUGAUGGGUAGCCGGCCUGAGAGGGUGAACGGCCACAAGGGGACUGAGACACGGCCCUUACUCCUACGGGAGGCAGCAGUGGGGAAUAUUGGACAAUGGACCAAGAGUCUGAUCCAGCAAUUCUGUGUGCACGAUGACGUUUUUCGGAAUGUAAAGUGCUUUCAGUUGGGAAGAAAAAAAUGACGGUACCAACAGAAGAAGUGACGGCUAAAUACGUG